rnacentral:lncRNA from 1 species
AAACUGCAGAAGGGCCCCAACGUCAGUCUUUGCCCAAUUCUCUUGGCCUCUAUUGUGUUCACAAAAUGACUGGCGUGGUUUAAGUCAUCACUUCUAUAUACAAUAAAAAGCAAAGGUAAGAAGAAGGGAGUGGUUUCUCCUUGUGUAUUUAAGCUUUUAUUUUUAUGGAGGAACAGUUUUCUCAGUAUGUCUUGCCCUUUGAUCUGAUCGGCCAGAACUGUUACUUACCCAUUCUCUAGCUGCUAGGGAGGCCACAAGGGGAGUGUGCCAUGUUUAGAGUCUAUCAUGGGAGGAAAAAUUGUCUGCAAAGAGGACAGGCCAGGGGAAAGACUGGGUAGAUGACCAAGAGUGUUUCCCACAGGAAGUAAACAUAUAUGCCCAGGUUUAGCAGAGUCAUGGGUAGCUGGAGUGAGAGGUUGGAAAAAUUAUAAUUUAUCAAUGAAUAAUAAUCAAGGUCAGGCAAGAUGGUGAGUUGCUAUUGCUAUAUUCAAAGAAUGUUACCAAAGAGUACUGACAUGGAAAUAUGUUCAUGACACAUUAAACAGGUUACACACCAUUUGCCCUGCUAUCCUAACCCACACAGAUGUUCAGCCACAAAUAAACUCUGAUAAAAGAAAAAUUCUGAGAUUCCCUAAAGUUUGUUACAUUGGUCAAAGAAUAGAAGUUGGGGGCAGAGAGAGAAAUAUAAGUGAAGUGUAAUCAGUUAUUAACCACAAGCUGAAAGCAGCAAAAGACUUCCACAUGUUUGAAUAUAAGUCGAGACAUGGACUCCAACUGCUGACAAACCCCCGUUACACCCCUGGCAUCCUGUGAAAUUUCCAGUCUGUUGACACCCGUCAAUCCAGAAGCAAUAAGUACUUCCCCCUAGGUACUGUCCUCUUAUCUUAAAGUUCUCCCAGCUUGGUUUAACACUGCCUCUCUUAUCUAUAGCCAGUGUAGAUGCAAUCUGAACAAUUUAUGCUUGCCUACCCCAAAUAUCCAUUAUUAGCUGCUCUUAGUUCUUAGGUGUGGCCGACAUAAUUUCAGUAGCUGCCUAGACUUGCUGCUGGUGGCUGUAGAACCUGUCCCUGCACCUGGUCCUUUUUCUGGCUGUACCAGCUCAAUUUAAUUCCUUUAUUCUCUAGAUGUCUCAAUCUUGAGAGUUUUAGUUGAAAACAACCUUUAUACACAUAUGCACACAACUAAAAUUGGCCACAUAUUAUUUGAAAUCCCUUUUACUGUGAUAUAAAGGUUGAUUGUCCCUUUCUUCUAUGUCUGAGCUGGCCUGUGACUGCUUCAACCCAUGAAGAACAGCAGAUGUAAUGCAAUGCCAAUCCCAGACUUGGCCUUUAGGAGGACUCGGAGCUUCUACCCAGGGGUUUGGAAGCACUGAUGUGCUAGAGCCAGCUCAUACC